AAUAAAUUCAUUAAAUUUGAAGUCGAUAUUUUGAAAAUAUUAACAGAGGGAAUAAUUUUGGACCUCUUAUUUUUUU
rnacentral:tRNA from 1 species